rnacentral:rRNA from 1 species
GAUGAACGCUGGCGGCGUGCUUAACACAUGCAAGUCGAACGAAGCACUUUAUUUGAUUUCCUUCGGGACUGAUUAUUUUGUGACUGAGUGGCGGACGGGUGAGUAACGCGUGGGUAACCUGCCUUGUACAGGGGGAUAACAGUUGGAAACGGCUGCUAAUACCGCAUAAGCGCACAGCAUCGCAUGAUGCAGUGUGAAAAACUCCGGUGGUAUAAGAUGGACCCGCGUUGGAUUAGCUAGUUGGUGAGGUAACGGCCCACCAAGGCGACGAUCCAUAGCCGACCUGAGAGUGUGACCGGCGACAUUGGGACUGAGACACGGCCCAAACUCCUACGGGAGGCAGCAGUGGGGAAUAUUGCACAAUGGGCGAAAGCCUGAUGCAGCGACGCCGCGUGAGCGAAGAAGUAUUUCGGUAUGUAAAGCUCUAUCAGCAGGGAAGAUAAUGACGGUACCUGACGAAGAAGCACCGGCUAAAUACGUG